rnacentral:lncRNA from 1 species
UGGAUAUUUCACUUUCAUAUUUUCAAAAUGAAUGCGAGUCAUAAUUGUCUCCAAAUCGAGUUGAAAGCAAUUCUGCUCUAAUUUGAUCUUUGAUUAUUGGGUUCCAAGUGACAUGAGCAAGUCAAGGUGGACUAUAGCAUCGUACUCCUAAUGUCCAUAAUUCGUCAUAUUUCCCCUAGUAUGGAGAUGGCGAGGACGAUUAAGUGUAACACACCUUAAUCCUUAAGUCCAGUCGAUCCGUGAACCAUAGGAAAAGGGAAUAAGCCAUGGACCCGAAAAUGACAAUAAUACACCAUAUAAAUAUAUACUGAUGUACAAGUAGGAAGGUUAAAUUACAAGCGUAACCUCUCAUAGGCAACACAGUACUAACGCUAAUAUCAUGAGUAGAACAACCUUAAUUAAAUAUUAGUAUCAGACUGAAUCAACACGGCUCAACUCGAAAUAAGAAAUCAAUGCCACGAGAGGAUUAACACACAUCUCCACCGGUAACCAGAGCUAAGGAUCUGAUCUCUAGGCACCCUGCACAGCCACCUGUGGCACCAUCGCCGUCGCUGUCGCCUCCGUCACCCCGGGAUCAGCAGAAGAAGCUUUGCCUUCCUUAUCAGCUCGGCGGGGGCACGGCCACCCUCUCUUGCUCCACUCAUGGUGAUGGUGGUCGUGGCGGUGGUGGAACCCUCGGCUCACGAACGCUCCGAACACGGCUCCUAGCGCGAAGGCAGCGACGGGCCUCAUCGUCAUGUUCGUCUCGGAGAUCCGACCGGACACCUUGAAUCACGAGAGGCUGUAGAAGAAAGUGUUGUGGGGGGAUUAGUUUGAAAGCUUGGAUUGAGAUAUCU